UAUUCACAUACUGCAAGGAUCAGUCAAAAUAAGGUACGUGACAGCAGCCUGUGUCCCUGAGUUACAUACAUUUCCUGAAGCGGCCUCCAGCUGGGUCUCCAAAUUUGCAGCAGAAGCCAUGAGGAUUUUCCUAAGGAAAAACUGCUUUGGCUUCAUUAACAUGGGAAUAUUUUGCACAUAUUUUUGAGCAUUUCUAAGGUACAGAGUAAAACUGUUCAAUUUCACAUUUUUAUUUCAUUGUUUUUCCGUGCCAUGACUCUUUUUCUUUCCAGCUCAUUUUUCUGUUUUGCUUGUUAAGCUGCUGCUUUUACUUUAUCAGGAGAGGCUGUACACUUUAUUGAUUAAGCUGCCUGUUUUUCUGUUUCAUGACAUUUUUCAUUUGAAUGUGUACUUGUUUUGCUGAAUCAGCUGUGUAUCGAAAUGCUUGAGGAUUCAACUACUCUUCUAUUUGAUCUGCAUUUUUGGUUUAAUCCUCUUGCUCUUUUUUGCUUGCUCAGCUGGCUACUACUUAGCCAAGUAAUUUUGGGGGGGUGGGGGGAGCUGCACUGCCAAUUUCAUUUCUAACUAGGAAACAUAUGCUCUAAAAUAAGUUCCAGUCAUUCAUGGCUGUAACUGUAUAUUGUUUGAAUUAAAUUCCUUUUAAACAGGGAAGAACAGGAAAGAGUGACUUAGUUUAUUUUAUUUAAUUUACAGUGUUUGCGUUGUGACCCAGUGUCAGGAAUACUUGGGAGAGUGCCCAACCUGGAAGCCAAACAUAAGUGAUCAGCCAAAGAAACCAUGGUUUUCUCUAGCCAAUUCUGGCUUUUGGCAUUGAGCUCCUGAUCAAGACCAUUGAAACGCUGCAGAAGAUGCCUCUGGCCCGAGACACGUUAGCUUAUCUCUUGGGAGGGAACAAACUGCAAGGUGUGUCACACACACAGCCUGUUUAAUACCGAUGUGGAUUAGAGAGCCUCUGAUAUAAAGGAGAGGGGGCUCAAAUGGCAUCAGUGUUAUCAAUUCAUCUGUAACCAGUUCCUGAAGUGAUGCCUUACAGUAAGCCAGCCUGGAGCUAAGCGACUCUGCCAUCAUCAGGCUCAAUUCAGCAAUGCAAAAGACAAGAGGGACCAUUGCAGCUGCUCUACGAGCCCUGGAAAUUCUGCUGAAAGACUGCAGCAGUUCCCUGCUACAGGCAUUGUGCCAGAGAGACAUUGAUGCAAAACACACUGCUGCUGGGAUUUUACCACUUGAAUGAGUUACCUGGACAUGGUUGAGUUCUGAUUUCCAUUCAGCAUUGUGGGAAAGCGCAAGAACAAAACCAUGCAAGAGAAAAGAGGAAGAGAAAUGUCUCCUGCAGCCUCACAUCCCUGGCCUUCUGCCUGCUGCUGCUUGAAGCAGAGCUCUGUGCAUGAGAUGAGCUUUGGAGUGACCUUGUUUUGCUGCUCAGCUUGAGCCUCAAGGGCAACACUGAAAGCCCCCAUCACUGGGCUCAUCACUUGCCAAGAAGAGUCCACCUCUGCAGUGUGUUAUGUUUAAGCUCCUGAGUUUUGCUGAGCAUUUCCUUUCCCUCUCCCUCCCACCACCUGUGUCCCCCUUCCUGGAAAUACCUCACUUGAGGCGUGACUCUUUAAUAAUGCUAGAAUACAUAUAUAAGGUAAAAGAAUAAAGCUCACACAUCCUCGACCACCAUGAGCUUUUUCAUUCCAUGACCAGGUUGGACAGAAGCUGGAGUUUUUGCAGGCUAUUUGGAAUCAAAGAGAAGGGUUUAUGAUUAGUCUGAUUAUAAUAAGCUCAAAGACAAGAAUGUGGGCGAAAAAAAAAAAUCCCUAAACAGACCCUUUACCAGAGACCUAUCUGCUUUGUGACUGAGAUGGGAGAGCUGGAUCCUCACUCUCCCAUAGUGUAUCUGCGUGCAAGCAGACUACAGCUGCUGCUGCUGCUGAAGGUGUUGUGGAUGCUUUUAUGUGCAGUACUUUGCACUUUGAUGGUUGCAGUGGUAGGUUUAUAUGCAAGAGUGCAAGGCAUGUGAAUGUAAUUCAGAGUCAGUAUUUUAUUCCUAGUUAGGCAGCUGGAUAUUAUUCUGCAGACAGUUCUGAUUCUUAUACAGGACUAAAUGCCACUGCAUUAUUAUGGUUUUGCAUCCUUGGUUUUCUUAUGGCUCUGUUAAAAUGGCCACACAUGGCAAAAAAUGGAUCAAACUCUCCCUUCUCAUUAGUGUACAUCUGACCUGAAAUGACUCCCUCAUCUACAUAUUUCACUGAUGAUUUCAUGGUUAUCAUUAGCCAACAUUUGGUUUUUUUUUUGUGUCCAAAAAUUGGAAACCUGCCCAAGCUCUGCUUUUUACCCAGAGGGUCUAUAUGGACUUCUUUUAAGGUAUGUGACAGCUAAUGAAGUGAAGCAAGCCUAUUUUCAGAGUAUCAAAGCUGUUAAAUAGGGGUUAACACCUCCACUUCAGGAUUUUCUGUCAGAAAAAGGCUGAGAACUGCUGCCGUUUCAGAAAAAUAAUUCCUUACUGACGCACAGUGAGACAGUAAGUUCAGCUAACAAAAUGAAAAGGACCAAGCCUGCACCUGACUGGUAUGCACAAUUUCUUUACCUCUACCAGAUAAAGUGCACAAAAUGUGUAAAGGCUGGAAACUGCUCUCUACCUAACCUCUAAAUCCCUUCUCCUGGUGUUUUCAACAUAGCAGAACCCACCUGUGCACCCAGAGCCCUAAGAUGUUUGGUGCUAGGCCCUUGCUACAACUGUCCACGAAAAAGGAGAAAGUGGUGAGUUUCUGAACAGAUGGCUCAUAUGAGGUGACACAAAGCCAGGAGGAGUGUCUGGUACACCCAAGGGUUCUGCUGCUAUCCAGAGGGAUAUAAACAGGCUAGAGAAAUGGGCCAGCAGGAACCUCAGGAAGUACAACAAGGACAAGAGUGAAGGCCUGCACUGGGGAAUGAACGGCCUCAGGCACCAGCUGGGAGCUACUCAGAUGGAAAACAGCUUGUCAGGAAAGUACCUGGGGACGUAUCUUGGUGGACACCAAGUUGCUGCAAAGAAGGCUAAUGGUAAUCUGGGCUGCAUUAGGCAAAGUGUUGUCUGCAGGUGGAGG